rnacentral:rRNA from 1 species
CGGGACAGCCUCGGGAAACCGUGGGUAAUACCGGAUACUCCGGGACGGCCGCAUGGCCGGCCCGGGAAAGCCCAGACGGGAGGGGAUGGGCCCGCGGCCUGUUAGCUAGUCGGCGGGGUAACGGCCCACCGAGGCGAUUAUGGGUAGCCGGGUUGAGAGACCGACCGGCCAGAUUGGGACUGAGACACGGCCCAGACUCCUACGGGAGGCAGCAGUGGGGAAUCUUGCGCAAUGGGCGGAAGCCUGACGCAGCGACGCCGCGUGCGGGACGAAGGCCUUCGGGUCGUAAACCGCUUUCAGCAGGGACGAGGCCCUCACGGUGACGGUACCUGCAGAAGAAGCCCCGGCUAACUACGUGCCAGCAGCCGCGGUAAUACGUAGGGGGCGAGCGUUAUCCGGAUUCAUUGGGCGUAAAGCGCGCGUAGGCGGCCUGUUAGGUCGGGGGUCAAAUACCGGGGCUCAACCCCGGUCCGCCCCCGAUACCGGCAGGCUUGAGUCUGGUAGGGGAAGGCGGAAUUCCCAGUGUAGCGGUGGAAUGCGCAGAUAUUGGGAAGAACACCGGCGGCGAAGGCGGCCUUCUGGGCCACGACUGACGCUGAGGCGCGAAAGCUAGGGGAGCGAACAGGAUUGGAUACCCUGGUAGUCCUAGCCGUAAACG